rnacentral:lncRNA from 1 species
CAUUAUGUUCAAUUGAUCCAGAUAUCCUAGUCGGAUGGGAGAUUCAGUUAGGAUCUUUAGGAUUUCUUGCUGAAAGAGCUGCUUAUCUGGGUAUAGGCUUACUGAAAAGAAUCUCAAGGACACUACCACAUGAGUCUAAACAUCCACCUAAGAAUCUAGCCCAUGAGUCUAGUCAGGCGCCACCUAAGAAUCUAGCCCAUGAGUCUAGUCAGGCGCCUGAAGCAUCUCCUGCUGAUGAUGUUAUUGUGGAUGUCAGUGAGAAUGAUUGGAGUCAUACUCAUGCUAGUGGUGUACAUGUUGGUGGGAGAAUCGUAUUAAACUUAUGGCGUCUC